GCAUUACCUUCUGCACAGCUGACAAAGAAGAUUCAGGUGAAGCAAGAAGCUUUUGAUUGCCAGACUGCCUGUGGGAAAACUGUGGUGCUGCUGAUGGAAUAAGAAGUGCUGCUGCCAGGAAAGGAUUUCUGCCUCUCUCCACUAGCUGCUGUAUUUUGGAUGAUUUUCUGGCAAACUAUCUGCUUGCCCCAGAGCAGAAAAGUUUUGGAAAUCUCCAUUAUGAUUAUAGGGUUGUAGCAACUAAAAGAGAGGAUUUUGCAUGGACUUCUAGCUAGGUGGGUAGGAGACCUGCCAUGACAGCUGUUGCAGAUGGGAAGAUGGGCAAUCUGAACUUUGGCAGCCUCUCUUACUUAACUAGGUCUGGAAAAAAUGAAACCAAGGCACGUGCUACAGGGAACCAUGCAAUCCACAUACUUGAAGGCAAUGAUGUCAAAUUGCCUGAGAUGGAAAUAGCUGUGAUCUUGAAUGGAAUUUACAGCUGUGUUAGAAAAUGA
rnacentral:lncRNA from 1 species